AACCCCAAAACCCCCUCUCAUCCAAACCCAAACCCAAUCCCGACACCCUCGUCUUCUCCCUCCCCGCCUCUCUCUCUCUCUCUCUCUCUCUCUCUCUCUCUCUCUCUCCCCCUCCUCCCUCCCUACCACAGAUCCAAGCCCUAACCCUAGUUUCUCUCCUCGGUCCCUUUCGCUAAUGGCUUCUCUCAAUUAACACCUCCGUCGCCGGUGCUCCUCUUCACAAAUCCAAGCUCAAUCCCGAAACUCCGGCACGGCGUUGUGUGACGCGGAUGGCGAUGGGGAUGAUGGUGAGGCUCGGAUUGGGAAAUUAAGGUAAUUGAGUAGAAAAAGGGGAGGACGAGGAUUUCUAAAGCUUUUGAGCUUUUGAUCUUCCAUUGUGACAAUGGUAUGAUUUUUAUUAGCUUCUUUUAGUAAAUUUUUAGUGUAAUUUGUUACUAAUGUGAUAUGUUGAGGUUGGUGUUAGUGGAAUCUAAUAUUAAUAUUAUACUGGUAAUUAACUUCUCGCUAUGUGUAGAGAUGGUUUUAAUGGUGUUUGUGGAGAUGCUCAUGAGACAAUCAGAAGGUUGCAUAUCACGUGGUUGAUGAAAUUCUUACAACAGAUUUGUUUUGAUUUAAAUGUUGAAAGUUUUAAUUUGGAAUUUUUGAGGGUUGUGUUGUUAUGGUUUGGAGUUUUAGGUGUUCGGAGAAAUGCCCUUGUGAGAUGAGAUAUGUAUGGUUCAUGUUAUUCUUGUGUUUGCUACAAUUUUAUUUAUUGUAAGUUACACUCCAUGCACAACACACAAUUAUGAUAUGUUUUGAAUUAUUUUACUCUCUCUCCCUCUGUCAAGUAUGAUUAAAACCUAUUUAUUUUUGUUGGUGUAGAAAAUGACAUGUUGUGCAAAUUAUACUAAAUUUAUAUUUUUCUUGUAUUUUAUUAGUAUUGUAGAAGUUUUAUUUACAUUAAUAUCUUACUUUAAAAAGUGUUCUAAAUCAUUUUCCAGAGUCCACGGGGCACUGAAAAUUUUGGAGAAAAAAACAAGUAUAUCCUUCCAAAAUGAUACAGAAAUUGCACUUAGGGUUAUCGGUGCCAACGGAUUAAACAUUCUACGCAAAACCGGUCAUUUGUCAUUCAGCUUAUGAGUCUCCACUUCAUGCAAUAUCUCUUAUUCAAUAAAGGUCUCUAGUUAUCAAGGGGUAUUCCCUAUUUCAGAAGACAAAUAAGACCUCGGACAAGGUCUUAGUUGCGUCCAGACAGUCGAGGAAGCGAAAAUCAGACCCUCAAGAAAACGAGGAAAAACAUCAAGAAAGCGAAGAACAUCCACAACCACAACAAAAUCCAGCUCCUCUACAGGAUUGGGACAUCUCAGUUGUGAAGCACAGAUUUCUAGAGGUCUGCCAUGUACAGGACGCUUCUUCUUAGAUUGUUGUAGUGACCUUGACGAUCAUUGAAAAUUCUCCUGUUCCUCUCGUUCCACAAUUCCCAGCAGGCUGCUGCGAAACAGAGGUCCAGGUUUGUUUUAGAUACUCCCGACACCGUGCUCCUGCUUUGUCUCCACCAGUCCGCUAAAUUUCCUGAUACAGUGGUCAAGGACAGUUGUGCAGUAUUGGAAUUGUGAAGCAGCCCCCUCCACAAUGAUUUAGCAUAAGUACAUUGGAAAAGAAUAUGAUCCAGAGUUUCCGCGUUUGAGUUGCAAAGCACGCAGAUGGAAGGCCCGUUCGAUCCCCUUUUCUGCAGGAUUUCAGCUGUCAGUACUUUGUUUCUUGCGGCUAACCACAAGAAUAUCUUUAUUCUUAGAGGGAUCUUGAUUUUCCACAGGAAGGAUAUUCUUGAGUCGUUGAUUCCGUCGUAUAUGAGGAAGUUGUAGGCGCUCCGAGCCGAAAAAUUGCCAGAGGUAGUCCAGCGCCACGAGGGCUUGUCCUCUCUGAGAUCCGACAGCAUCCAGGUAUUAAGUAAAGUUGUGAGCUGCUGAAGUUCGUCUUGCAUCUCGAGACCUUGGGAGGUAUUAAACCCCAAAUUGGAGCGUGUUGCGAAGCGUCUGAUCCAGAUUGCGACCGAGAGAUGUUUAGAGUUCGACGCAGCAAAAAGGUGUGGCAGGGUAUAUUUGAGGACGCAGUCUCCGCACCAUCUCGAAUUCCAGAAAGAUACUCCUUUUCCGUUGCCCAGGGAGAAAGAAACCGAGGUAUGGAAAGGCGCCGCCGUGCUGAGGACGCCUCUCCAAAUAGAGCAGCAACCCACAGGCUUAGCAUCGUUAUAUGAAGGUAGUCUAUGUUUAUAGUGUUUCUGCCUCAAGAGUUGUACCCAAGGAGUGUUUGGUGAAUCGUAGAAGUUCCAAAGAGCUUUCAUCAACAAGGCUGAAUUCAUGGACCGUAAAUUUCGAAUCCCCAUACCUCCAGGUCUUUUAGGACGGCACACUUGCUCCCAUUUGACUAAGCAAUGAAAACCGCUAUCUAGGAUUUUACCUCUCCAAAAGAAACCUCGGCGGAUUUUAUCUAUGUAUUUUAUAACCCAAGAGGGUAGUAGAAAGGCUGAGCAAAAAUAGGUAGGAAUGGUUGAGAGUACCGAGUUAAUGAGCACGACUCGACCUCCCCUUGAGAGCAUCUGUUCCUUCCAUCCGGCUAAACGAUUAUCGAUUUUCUCGAUUAGAGAUAGGUAGUCGUUUUUGAGAAGCCGUCUAGGUGAUAGUUGAAGACCCAAGUAUUUAAAGGGGAAAUCUUGCGUGGAGCAGCCCAAGACAUUGGUCAAGCCCGAGAUUUGAUCCGUCGACAGGUUGAUCGGAAUGAGAGAGCUUUUGUUGAAGUUGAUCUUAGAGUCCUAAAAUUGCACUAUUUUGAUGGAGAAAUAGUGUAACUAUCUAGUUUAACUUUUGUUUAAAAAAUAUAACUUUCAUCUUAAAGGGAGCUCUUUCGGAGAAGAAAUAGUAUAACUAUCUUUCAAAUAGUACAACUUUUAUUUAAAGAGUA